GAGGGAGGGAGGGGGGUGACAGUGUAUGAAAAAAGAUGAGGGACAGAAAAUUUUGGUGGAGGAAAAGUUUGGAACUAAAAAUGUUUAGAUGUAUUAAUUACAUAUAUUAAUUGGAAGUUUCAUGAAAAGAAAGGAAAUGGUCAAAUACGGUGAAGAACAACUUGUUAUUGAAAGUUUGGUAUUGAUAACGUUUAGAUGUAUUAAUUGAAAGUUUUAUGAAGGGAAUGGAAAUGGUCAAAUGAUGGUGAGGGUGAAGGACAAUUUGCCACAUGGCAGAAACUAUCGUGGAUUUAUAUAAGUUAAUAGAUGAUAACAUUUAGACGUAUUAAUUAAAUGUAUUAAUUGAAAGUUUGAUGAAGGGAAUGGAAAGGGUCAAAUGAUGGUGAGGGUGAAGGACAACUUGCCACAUGGCAGAAAAUAUCGUGAAUUCAUAUAAGUUAAUAUAAGUUAAUAGAUGAUAACAUUUAGACGUAUUAAUUAAAUGUAUUAAUUGAAAGUUUGAUGAAGAGAAUGGAAAGGGUCAAAUGAUGGUGAGGGUGAAGGACAACUUGCCACAUGGCAGAAAAUAUCGUGAAUUCAUAUAAGUUAAUAGAUAAUAGAUAGAUGAUAACUGAUAUAAGUAAUAUAAUAAGAACAAUAAUUAAACAGCAAAUUU
rnacentral:lncRNA from 1 species